GUUAAAAAGUGUUGUUUUUUUAUUUAAUUCAGUGCUAUUUUUAUGUUUACAGUUCGCCAAAUGUCUGCAGAAGGUAUCUCCGAAAGAAUCUGCUGCAGGAGGAUGCCGUAAAUGUUUGUAAGUGCCGGGAACCUAGGCAAGUGACGUCCCGUCUCGAGAAAGAAGCGCAUGAAAUGGUGCCGUAGGACGCUGGAGAAGGUUGUAUGUACGUAUAGUGGUGUUUUGAUAGUGUUUAUGAUUUGUGAGAAAUAAA